CGGGACGGGUGAGUAUUGUCUGGGAAACUGCCUGAUGGAGGGGGAUAACUACUGGAAACGGUAGCUAAUACCGCAUAACGUCGCAAGACCAAAGAGGGGGACCUUCGGGCCUCUUGCCAUCGGAUGUGCCCAGAUGGGAUUAGCUAGUAGGUGGGGUAACGGCUCACCUAGGCGACGAUCCCUAGCUGGUCUGAGAGGAUGACCAGCCACACUGGAACUGAGACACGGUCCAG
rnacentral:rRNA from 1 species